rnacentral:misc_RNA from 1 species
GAUGAAGAACGUAGUGAAAUGCGAUACUUGGUGUGAAUUGCAGAAUCCCGUGAACCAUCGAGUCUUUGAACGCAAGUUGCGCCCGAAGCCAUUAGGCCGAGGGCACGCCUGCCUGGGCGUCACACGUCGUUGCCCCCCCAUCUACUCCUUCGGGAUUGCGGGGGGCGGAUGAUGGCCUCCCGUGCGCCUCGUCGCGCGGUUGGCAUAAAUGCCAAGUCCUCGGCGACGCACGCCACGACAAUCGGUGGUUGCGAAACCUCGGUUGCCCGUCGUGUGCGGUCGUCGCGCAUCGAGGGCUCGAAAAAAUUGUCGGGCUCCGGCUCGGCUUUCAACGCGACCCCAGGUCAGGCGGGGUUACCCGCUGGAUUUAAGCAUAUCAAUAAGCGGAGGA